rnacentral:rRNA from 2 species
GGGUUGUGAGGUUAAGCGACUAAGCGUACACGGUGGAUGCCCUGGCAGUCAGAGGCGAUGAAGGGCGUGCUAAUCUGCGAUAAGCGCCGGUAAGGUGAUAUGAACCGUUAUAACCGGCGAUACCCGAAUGGGGAAACCCAGUGUGAUUCGUCACACUAUCAUUAACUGAAUCCAUAGGUUAAUGAGGCGAACCGGGGGAACUGAAACAUCUAAGUACCCCGAGGAAAAGAAAUCAACCGAGAUUCCCCCAGUAGCGGCGAGC